rnacentral:lncRNA from 1 species
ACAUAUCAUGCUCAUUGACAUGCGCGUGGUUACAGUUACUGUACUGAUUACAAAAUCACCCAGGCUCUGUCAUGAGAAAUAUAAGAUAACAAAAGACAGUUGGUUACUUCUCUCCGAUUUCACAUGGAUAGUUGGAUUUUGGGGUACAUGUGUAGUUUUAGUUCUGUAACUUUGGUUUGAUUGACUCCAUGGUUAGUUGUUCGCACACUGUUGGAUGCUUAGUUCAGUUAAAAAUAUAAUGCCGUAUGAGUAUAAGAAUACUAACGAGCUUUCGAUAAUGCUAGAGCUGCAGUAACAACUAAGGAUCCGAUAAAUAAUAACAUCAUGAAAGGGGCACGGAGCGGCGAUCCAAUAUACACCGGCGAUGAAGGUAUAUUCAUAUACAAUAUGUAUAUGGUACCAUCAUCUCGGGCUUCCUCGGACUUCCUGUUUGACCUUUGUGCCUAUUCAUAUAAUGAUGUGAUUCGACACGCUGAUUGCCUUUUUAUCCACUGAUUUUUCUUUUCUCCCUUUUUAUGAUUAAAUUUUCAGGAAAAUACCACUGUAUGAUUAUAUAGGUUUAACUCCAGUUCACAUUCUUUACUUUUUCAAGUGCAUGCUAUGGUUCAUAUAAUAACUCCAUUUAUUUAUAUUUCACUUUGUCAAGUGCAUGCUAUGGUUCAAAGCAAAAUUCAGUUUUCAAUUAUAAUUCAGUGAUGUUCUCACCUUAGAUUUUAUUUUGCGUAAUUGUAGGAAGUGGGGAUGGACAUUCGUGGAUUUGCCGUCCCUGAUUUGCUUUGUGGAGGUAUUAUCUUUCAUAAUGUGUUGUUAACAUAUCUCUGGAAUAAGUUCUUAUGUUCAGUACAUAUAGUUUGGUUGAUUAUCUUUUAGGGGCCUUCUUUGGAAAGGCUUCGACAGACUGUUUGAAUUACUGCCUUAUUAGGUUAAUAGAAUUUGAACAUGUGACUUUAUCUUUGUGUCAACCAUACAAAGGAGUUAGUGACCUGUUCUUAAUGAUAUAUAAAGGAGUAGGCAGUAGUGCAUGGUAAUAAUAAAAAAUGCAUCAUGUGUAUGUGCAGGACACAUGCCCAUGAUUCAUAAUGAUUUGCGGCAGUCUUAGAAGAAAAUUUCCCAUUGCAUUCAUCCCCCUUUGAGUGUCAAUUGCAAAGUUCAUCCAUUGGUGAAAGGAAACUGUACUCUUCUUUGUUUUAGUGCUCUGCCUCCCUGCUUCUAUGACAGAAUGGCAUGGCUUCGUGUACAAUAAAUGUUCUCUACUCUUGCAGCCCAUGUAUUACUAUUGACAGGGUUUGUCUACACUUAUCUUUAAGGCUACAACCGGGAGUCUCAUAGGUGUGUGAAGAUGAUCUAGGGCAUUGCUUUGUUAGGAGUUCACUUAUGUACAAGAAUGGCAUGUUCUUCCACGUGUAAUAUAUUGUGGUUUUUUCUACUCAACACCACCUGGACCAUGUAUCAUUGUAACCUGCUCUAUGGUUUGGAUCUGAGCACUGGACCAUGGUGCUGGACAGGGCACGACGCCCUAAGACCGCUCUUUGGAAUUCCAAUAUACUUAGAUAGAUAGAAGUGAAAGUUGAGGACCAACAUGUAUGUUGUAUCGUGGAUGUCCCCCUUCAUAGCAUUGUUUUAUGAAAUGCACUAACACUCCGAGAAGUGUUUCUGAGUAUAUUUGUAUAUUUGUUACAACAAGUAUGCUUUGGUAUGAAAUUUGCCAAUAUCGUGUGAUGAACCUUGAUGUUUAGUACUGAAUCAUUACUAAGUGUUUACUAACCUCCUUUUUUAAAUGUUACCUUUGUAG